rnacentral:rRNA from 1 species
UACAGAGGGGGCGAGCGUUGUUCGGAAUUACUGGGCGUAAAGGGCUCGUAGGCGGCCAACUAAGUCGGUUGUGAAAUCCCCAGGCUUAACCUGGGAACUGCAUCCGAUACUGGAUGGCUUGAAUCCGGGAGAGGGAUGCAGAAUUCCAGGUGUAGCGGUGAAAUGCGUAGAUAUCUGGAGGAAUACCGGUGGCGAAGGCGGCAUCCUGGACCGGCAUUGACGCUGAUGAGCGAAAGCUAGGGGAGCAAACGGG